UACGGGGGGAGCAAGCGUUGUUCGGAAUUACUGGGCGUAAAGGGCUUGUAGGCGGCCAACUAAGUCCGACGUGAAAUCCCCAGGCUUAACCUGGGAACUGCGUCGGAUACUGGAUGGCUUGAAUUCGGGAGAGGGAUGCAGAAUUCCAGGUGUAGCGGUGAAAUGCGUAGAUAUCUGGAGGAAUACCGGUGGCGAAGGCGGCAUCCUGGACCGACAUUGACGCUGAGGAGCGAAAGCUAGGGGAGCAAACGGG
rnacentral:rRNA from 1 species